GCUGUCCACAGUGUGUUUGAUAAGCUGACAUAUGACAGGGAAUUCUUUCGCUGUUGUGUCAGUUUAUCAAACCCAUACCUGGAUGAC
rnacentral:pre_miRNA from 1 species